UAGUAAUUUUCUGAAAUGUUUAAUUGUAGAAUUAUUUUCAAAGUUUUACCAAUAGCCUGCUAAAAUAAAUUGGACCUCAUUUCUGUUAUGUUAAUGACAUGAUCAACUGUUGUUAGCUGUCUGUCUUGAAGAUAUUAUUGACUAAUAUAGACUUUUAAAGCCAAAUCAUAUUUCUGGAAGCGACCCUCUCACAGAAGACAACAAUAUGCUUUUGUCAGCAACGAGAUUGGUGGAUCACAACAAACAGCAAAGUCAAUAAUACUUGACAUAAUAUAAUGCUUUAUCCUGUGGAACCACUGCAUAGCGGUUCAACGUGGCUAAGUUGAAGAGAACCAUGAGAGAUAGCAAGAACGGCAAAUGCUGGAGUCUGAGAUAACACAGUGUGGAGCCGGAUGAACACAGCAGGCCAGGCAGCAUCAGAGGAGCAGGAAAGCUGACGUUUCGGGUCGGGACCCUUCUUCAGGAAAAAAUAUUGAAGAGAACUAUGAUUGUUUUUUAAAGUUGACUGCAACGAUAACAUCCCACAUUAAAAUGACUGACCAGUUAGCUCAAAGCAAAAUGCCGCCAAUACAAAUCGCUUGACCGAGCAGAGGGGUCCAGGAAUCCUGCUGCGGAUCGGGAAUACUGAUCAGCAUCUGGGUGAGCAAAUGGGGAAUGUGAUUCAGUUUUUGAGCACGAUUGAUAAUUUUACUAAUGGAAUCAGCAUACAUUCCCUCUAAGAAAAUAUGUUAUUUCAUAUCUGCAACGUUGGAGAAAUUAAUGUUUAAUCGCUGAAGAUUUGCAGUAACCUACUCUUCCAGACACAAAAAAAAUUGCUUGAAGCUUUUGUCACAGAAAUACACUACUUCCGAGGUUGACUAUAGAAUCAAAAUGUAUAGAUUCCUGCUUAAUCCAACCAAUUAAUGAAAGUUAAGUGCGGAUAUCAACUAACUUAAAUUUUGAUGUGUAUUUCCAUAAACAUUUUCUCUGUGAGACGUGCGCGCUGAAGAGUUAGGAAGUUCUGACCAAGUUUUACGGUGCCACAUCGACCCUCCGGACUUUCCCAUGCGUGCAGUUCCACCCUUCAAGCGGCAGGCGGCGCUCGCUCCAGCUAACGUACAGAUGAUUGACUGCCCAGAUGGCUAAUCGAAGGCCGCUGAUGGGACGUGCGCGCAGAGCAGUGACCAAUAGGCGCCCGCGGUAGGCGGGGCGGGCGGCUCCCCUGGUCGGAGUUGCUGCUUGCGGCUGUUGACGCUGGGCUGGAGAUUGGCUGAGUCCAGACGACUUUUAAAACCUUCGCGACUUCGAAACAAAUAAACAAACAAAAGAAAAAGAGGCGAUGAAAUUACACCAUUUAGAACUUGUGCAGAACCGAUCUCUUCACUUUGCAAGGUUAUGUUGAGGCAAUAGCAGCAUCCAGUGACCAUCUGUUAACAAGAGGCCAGUCCUAGGGAGCCUCAAUUCUGCCUCCAUCUUUGAACUCUCUGAGAAUACACCUGCAAAGUUGUUUACUCUCACCCUCAAUCAGAAACUUUCACCUUGCAACUUAGCAUAACUGAAAAACCAUGGGCAAUUUCAAAGGACAUGCACUUCCUGGAAGUUUUUUCCUCCUAUUUGGCUUGUGGUGGUCAGUGAAAUAUCCUAUGAGGUACCUCUGCAGAAAGAAUAAGAACGUUUGUUACUUGGUAUCAGUCUCAGGGCAUCGACGAUUAGACAUCAUUGAAGGAAUUGUGAAAGCCAGCUUUGCACUAAU